CCCGUAGUAAGUUUUUGCUUCAAAUCCAAGACCCUAUAUUCUUCUCUUCGUUUCUCCCCGGGCAACUUUGUAGUAUGUUUCACAUUGAUGAUCAGAUUGAGAGGUUGUUCUUUCCCGUAAUAUUUCUUCAUAUUUUCCCUGUAAUAAAUUGAGAUGAAGAGAAAACAUUAAAGAUUAGGAAUAAAAUUAUAAUGGAAGGAAAAUGCAGAAACACACAUAACCUUUUAGCUUAAUUAAAUGUGCUAUACUUUUUUAGCCAACUUACAGUACAUUUAAGCUUAUAUGUAUCAAUGAUUGUGCAGCAAAACCAACUCAAUAGUUCCAUCUCAAAAAAAUAAGUAGCUCAAUAAAUUCAAAAUAAAGAAAACAACUGAAGUGUCUAGCAUGGAGUAUUUUCCUAAACAAGCCCGAAAGAUGAAUGUUUACCAUUAAAUAUUAUCCAUUUUUUUUGUCAAAUAAAUUUCCGUCAACCCUACAGAAUAAAUAACACAUCUAGUAUUGAAGAGGAAGUUGUUCAACUCAAUAUGAACCAGAAUGAUUGAAAGCAAUAAUUCAGUUGUUCACAUGUAAAUUCAUUGCAACAAGUGUAAACUAAAAGCAAGUUAAAUAUAAAUUCAAGGACAUACCAAAUAGAAGCAUUCCAUCUCCUAUUGCAGCAUCCCCUCUUCAUCAGAAAGGCUUGGUUUGUACUAGGUAAAAAAGCUAAAGUUGAUUCCUUUAACUAGAAGAAGGCUAAUGUUGUGUUAAUUAUACAAGGACUCAAGAUGGUCAACAAUGAGAAAUACUAUUCUAU
rnacentral:lncRNA from 1 species